CCCGGCAGCUCGUCCCUGGUCCCGAGUCACACCUGUUUGGGUUCUGCGUCUGUGCAGGAAGGCAUCUUCAGGCCCCACUCGAGGGCUGCCUCCCCACUUUCUCACAAUACAGGUCCUGGGGGGCCCGUGCGCACCGAGAGAUUGGUUUCCUGUGCAAAAGCUUUCCAGUGGUUAUCGAGGAUGCAGCCCUGAAUAAAAUAGAACUGCCCUGUGGCACUCAGCUCGAACUCAGGAGACACGCAUUAGCUCUGCCUCUUUUCUGGGUGGACACAUGUAUGGUGAUUUGGAUUCCAGUCCCAAUUCUGCUGGGUGACCCUGGACAAAUAAGUGGCUUCAGUUUCCUCAUCUGUAAAAUUGGGGUUGCCUUGGAGAUUUGAUGACCUCAUGCAUGAAGAGCAUGGGUCUGGCCCACGGUAAGCACUUAAAUUGCUAUUAUCGUCGUGAUCAUUCCUUUGUGACUAGCAUACGGAGUAGGUAGAAACAUGGGGUCUGAAACCAGUCAGACCUGAGCUGAG